GUGAGGAAUAUUGGUCAAUGGGCGAGAGCCUGAACCAGCCAAGUCGCGUGAAGGAAGAAGGAUCUAUGGUUCGUAAACUUCUUUUGCAGGGGAAUAAAGUGCGGGACGUGUCCUGUUUUGUAUGUACCCUGAGAAUAAGGAUCGGCUAACUCCGUGCCAGCAGCCGCGGUAAUACGGAGGAUCCGAGCGUUAUCCGGAGUUAUUGGGUUUAAAGGGUGCGUAGGUGGUUUGAUAAGUCAGCGGUGAAAGUUUGCAGCUUAACUGUAAAAAUGCCGUUGAAACUGUCGGACUUGAGUGUAAAUGAGGUAGGCGGAAUGCGUGGUGUAGCGGUGAAAUGCAUAGAUAUCACGCAGAACUCCGAUUGCGAAGGCAGCUUACUAAGCUACAACUGACACUGAAGCACGAAAGCGUGGGGAUCAAACAGGAUUAGAUACCCCUGUAGUCC
rnacentral:rRNA from 1 species